rnacentral:lncRNA from 1 species
GUAGGAUAAAAGAAAGUUUUUUGAAAUUGAGAAACUGAUUCUUCUUAAAUCUGUUCUAGUUAACGGAGGGGGCAGAGGGAGAGAAUAAGGUCGCACUCCUUUGCAGGAUCUUUAAUUACAGUCCUUAACUUGACAGGCUCCUAACAUCCUGCACCCCAGCACCUGGACUGACCUCUUUCUCUAACACAGUUCAUUCCGCUGGUGACGAUUUUGUUUUUCCUCACAACCUCCUGUAUCCUCACAUUCUGCUAUACUUCCCUGCCUUGCAUCCUCACCUAUUACUUUUCCAGCUUUGAAAAGACUUCUCUACUCCUGACUCUUCACAGUGAUGAAUGGUUUUAAAUUCCAUUCAUAUCCUUAACAUAUGUUAUGGGGAAGGAGGAGAAUUCACUCCAGAUAGGUUCACUCAGUUUAAAAUUCUAAGGACUAAUUAGAAUAAUUAAAAAUUAAAUAUUACAUAUUAGGUACUAUUGAAUCACUAUUGAGAGGUGGCCAAGAUAAAUAUGAGGAAACAAGAAACAAGUCAAAGUCAAGCAAAGGGCACUGAAAGAGGAGAAAUGGGAAGAGAAAAUGAACCUGAAGUGUUUGUAAUCAGACCAGGUUAUCCUAAGCCUAAAAAGCAUGGUUCAAGGGAGAAAUAUGUUUAUAAAGGGAAGAAUAUAGAAUAUAAAGGGCCUUCAGUGACCAACAGGAAUGUAGACAAUGUUAUUCUUCAUCCUUCUUGGAUAAGGAACUUACGAAAGGAUGAAACUGAUGCCACAGCUACACAUGGUCGUUACACAUGGACCUGUGUAAUGUGAGAGGUGGUCAUGAGUUACAGCUGGGCUCCGUGAUGUACGCAGGGCUCACCAGGGCAGAAACGGAGGAGACAAACAGCAAGGCUCAGCACCUCUGGGGGGGGGGGCAGCAGUCAUUGUCAAGCUAGCAGAAGUUACAAAGGGAGCAGGCUGAGGAAGUGCAGACAUGGAGCUUAUGUUUAGAGAGUGGACCAGCAAGGAGGAGGCAGGAUGAUCUCUAGCCCAGGAGCUCAAGGCCAGUGACAUCCCAUCUCCAAAGGAAAGAUAUACAGUUGUCCUCUGUAUGCACAGAUCCCACAGUUUCAGAUUCAUCCAAUGGUAGACAGCACGUUAAGCAGCAAAAAGGAGAACAGACACGGCAGAGGCCCAACACUGAAAAGUUGGAGAAGGAAGGAUGUGGACUAAAG